AGCGAACGCUGGCGGCAGGCUUAACACAUGCAAGUCGAGCGGGCAUCUUCGGAUGUCAGCGGCAGACGGGUGAGUAACACGUGGGAACGUACCCUUCGGUUCGGAACAACUCUGGGAAACUGGAGCUAAUACCGGAUACGCCCUUAUGGGGAAAGGUUUACUGCCGAAGGAUCGGCCCACGUCUGAUUAGCUAGUUGGUGGGGUAACGGCCUACCAAGGCGACGAUCAGUAGCUGGUCUGAGAGGAUGAUCAGCCACACUGGGACUGAGACACGGCCCAGACUCCUACGGGAGGCAGCAGUGGGGAAUAUUGGACAAGGGGCGCAAGCCUGAUCCAGCCAUGCCGCGUGAGUGAUGAAGGCCUUAGGGUUGUAAAGCUCUUUUGUCCGGGACGAUAAUGACGGUACCGGAAGAAUAAGCCCCGGCUAACUUCGUG
rnacentral:rRNA from 1 species